UACAGAGGAUGCAAGCGUUAUCCGGAAUGAUUGGGCGUAAAGCGUCUGUAGGUGGCUUUUUAAGUCCGCCGUCAAAUCCCAGGGCUCAACUCUGGACAGGCGGUGGAAACUACCAAGCUGGAGUACGGUAGGGGCAGAGGGAAUUUCCGGUGGAGCGGUGAAAUGCGCAGAUAUCAGGAAGAACACCCGUGGCGAAGGCGGCUCUCUGGGACGUUACUGACACUGAGGCGCGAAAGCGUGGGGAGCGAACAGG
rnacentral:rRNA from 1 species